CUUUAUUUAUCUCAGGGCAUAUGUUGCAAGUGUACACCAACUUAGCCACUUCAUGGCCAUGUAAUAUGUAGUAUAUAUGCAUCUAAAAUAAAUUAUGCAACCAAUUUAUUGUGUACAUGCAACCAAUUUAUUGUGUAGUGCAUGGUCGCACUUCCCCCGCGCGCGCGAAGACUCAGACGCUAUCCUUCACCUGCUCGCUGUAGCUGUUCUGCACGUCGUUGUAGCGGUCCCACACCAUG
rnacentral:lncRNA from 1 species